UACGUAGGGUGCGAGCGUUAAUCGGAAUUACUGGGCGUAAAGCGUGCGCAGGCGGUUUUGUAAGCCAGAUGUGAAAUCCCCGGGCUCAACCUGGGAAUGGCAUUUGGGACUGCAAGGCUGGAGUGCGGCAGAGGAGACUGGAAUUCCUGGUGUAGCAGUGAAAUGCGUAGAUAUCAGGAGGAAUACCGAUGGCGAAGGCAGGUCUCUGGGCUGACACUGACGCUCAUGCACGAAAGCGUGGGGGACAACAGG
rnacentral:rRNA from 1 species